AAUUAACAUAAUGUUCCCUUAACCAAAUGAAACAACAUUAUUAAGCUGCAUUGAUGAAAUGCAGCCCAAACCCUCACAGGAAGGCUGCCAAAGGACGUGGGCUUGGAAAAUAUUUUUCCAUUUCAUGCUCUCUCUCUCUCUCACACACUAGAACAGUUCAAAUGGGUGCUCUAGGAGGUUCACCAUUUUACUAAUUGGGGGAACUCCUGCAGAAAGAUGAAAAGGGUGUAGCCCAGGAGGGAAGUGGAGAAUCAUGCUGAAGUAGACAAUGGAUAUCACCCUUUGACCCCACUCAAAGAUUCCCUCACCUCUGGGGACUAUCCACUGCAGAAGUCUGGAAUUUGGACAAGAAUAAUGCCAGGCUCAAAGCCGAAUCACUAGGAAGGGGGUCACUGCUGAGAAACCAGAGGUAUGAGAGGCCAAGAAUGGCAUACACGUCUAGACCUCGUGCAACUUCUGUGUCUGGAUCACUCCCAGCCAUCCAGACAAAGAGACAAAAGACGUGGGAGCCAUCGGAAUCGCAUGGUGAUCCUCAUGUUGAAGUAGUGAGGACAGCACUGAGGAUGGAACGAGAAGAAGACAAGGAAAGUGCAUCACACCUCACCCCGCAGAGCUGUCACACCAACUCUCCACCUGGUAACCUAAGGACAGCUUUUACACAAGGGCCAUAUUCUUGCCUAACGUUUCUGUUGCUUGCAACCAGAGAACCAUCAGUGAUGAUAGCAAGCUGAAGAGACAGCAAGUGAGUUUCUGCAUCACUCUCCUGAGCCAAGUCUCCAGCAUGGAUCUGGAACCCUCUUCAUUUCAAAAGGCCAUAGUUGAAAUUUGGACAGCUACAAAUUGCAAUGAUUCAUUUGCAAACUAAAUAGCAAUAUAAUCCCAUGGUAACUUCCAAGAUCUCUGACUCUAAUAUUGAAACUACAAACAAAACAAUGAAAGAGGUGCCACACGUGCUCAUUAAUAUUGAAAUGGAGCUUCA
rnacentral:lncRNA from 12 species